rnacentral:rRNA from 1 species
CGGGCUUGAACUGCACAGGAAUGAUACAGAGAUGUUGAAGCCCUUCGGGGCCUGUGUGGAGGUGCUGCAUGGUUGUCGUCAGCUCGUGCCGUGAGGUGUCGGCUUAAGUGCCAUAACGAGCGCAACCCUUGUCUUCAGUUGCCAUCAGGUAGAGCUGGGCACUCUGGAGAUACUGCCACCGUAAGGUGUGAGGAAGGUGGGGAUGACGUCAAAUCAGCACGGCCCUUACGUCCGGGGCUACACACGUGUUACAAUGGCGUGUACAGAGGGCAGGUCUCAGGCGACUGAGGUCGAAUCCUAAAAGCACGUCCCAGUUCGGAUAGGAGUCUGCAACCCGACUCCUUGAAGCUGGAUUCGCUAGUAAUCGCGCAUCAGCCAUGGCGCGGUGAAUACGUUCCCGGGCC